AGUGUCCCUACCAGUGCCACCUUUGCCCACGCAAAUUCAACCAGAGUGCCCCCCUGAAACGGCAUCUCCAGGUCCACACAGGAGAGCGUCCCUUUUCCUGCGUGCACUGCAAUGCGUCCUUUUUACGGAAGGGGAAUCUCACGGCCCACAUGUCCUGUCAUGCAGGAAAGAAGACCUAAAAGUCCGGGGCUUGCACUUUAUUGUAGGUUCCUCAGCGUUGGGGUCCGUGGAGCAGUGCGAGUCGCUCGUGUGCCACCUCUGUCCGCAGACAUUCGCUCAGAAAGCCCACCUGGAACAGCAUGUGCGCAGCCACACAGGAGAGCGUCGCUACCAGUGCCAUCUGUGCCUGGAGACAUUCACUAGUAGCUACAACCGUACGCGCCAUCUGCGCAGCCACACAGGAGAGCGUCCCUACAAGUGCCACCUUUGCCGAAGCACAUUCACCCAGAGUGCCCACCUGAAACAGCAUCUGCAGGUCCACACAGGAGAGCGUCCCUUUUCCUGCGUGCACUGCAGUGCAACCUUUUUGCGGAAGGAGAAACUCUUGGCCCACAUGUCCUGUCAUGGAAGGAAGAAGACCUAAAGGUGCCGCCAGUGUUCUUGCAGCUUGAAAACCCUGUCUGAGGAAUUUGGAAACUUCAAAGAGGUGCAAGUGUGUGCCUACUAAGCCUCCGCAUCUGCAUGCUUAUCUUCAGGGAAGCCGACAGCCAAGACCACAGCCAAAGCAGCAGCCAGAGUUGUAAUAUCGAGCAGGGCACAUCCCGCUUGAACACUUGAUUUCUCGUCGCAGCCUGCUGAUCAGGAGCCUGCACAGUUGAAGCCAUGGUUGCCACCACAGUUCCCUCUUUCAAUGUUGCCAAAAAUUUAGCAUUUGUAUUAUGUAUUGUUGAGAGAUAAUGCGAGCGCGUCUGGGCAUUGUGCACUAUUUACUCUUUGAAACACAUUCUGAAAUCUAUGUUACCCAGUGAGAUUUAUAUUGGGGUACAUUUUCUUCAAAUAAAUGCGUAGUCUAGAUGCGAGCCAACAGAUUAAAUUGGGCAAGUUCAUUGUUUGCCGCUGAAGUAAGCGCGGUACAGGUGACAGGUUCAUAAUGCCCUUUCUGCAUUCCAUUUUCUCUUCUCUUGUUGUGCUACGUUUUAUUUGUGUGUUUAUUUAUAUUGAUACGUAUGAUGGGGGCUAUGGGAAGAUUGUGGAAAUUGUCCCAUGUAUCACAUGUCUUGUGCUCUGUGCUUAUUCUGUCCACAAAACCUGUGUCUGGCCCUUAUAUAUGGGCCAUUUAUUACUAAGGGUGACGCCUGAUAUGAGUGCAUGUACUCUCAGCUUAAAUUUUGAAUCAAGCCUUCAACACAUCCUUUUUUUAAGGGUAUUUGCCUAAUGUGCCUUCUAAACCUCUUUUUCCUCUUGAGUACAAUGAAUGUUGAAGUUAUAUAUGCUUUAAUACUAUCGACAUGUUUCUCCUAAGUUACCUUAUAGAUUUGCGUUGUCUUUAUACAGUCUCAUUAGGACCGUGACCUAAGGUAUAUGUGUACGUGGUGCAUGCUGUCAGCGCGUAUUGAAUGUAGCUAGCCCUAUGAGAUAAUGAGCUUCUUUUGACUUCUUUUUCUGGGCUGCAAAAGCCUAACGCUAUAGUUGUUCUUGCGAAGAAAUUUUGUGGUUGUCUCCUAGAUCAUAAUUCUUUUACUAGUGGCUCAUUAGCAGCAAAUAGCAGGUGGUGUAAGGAUGCUUUGCUCUCUGUGGUCUCAUAUGUGUUUAGCAGAAGUUGGAAUCUGAAGCCAACAUUAGGGUGACUACACCAAAUACUAAUCUUCCUGAAGUGACACAUGUGCAAGAAACAGUGAAAUAUGCAUGUUCUUUCUAAUUUCAGUAGUUGUAAUUUAAAGUGCACUUUUCUUUAAUUAGUUACCAUAAGGUUACCUGGAAUAGUGGUUAUUUAGGAACAAUAAAAAGGUAGUAACAUGAGGGUGAUCAAUGGUAGAUAUGGACUGAUAAGUGUUUAUUUUCAGUGUCCUUUAAUAUUGCGGUUAUCAAUACAUGAUUUGCUGGCAUGUUACCAAUGCAUAGUUUUACUCUUGUUUUCUUGAAUCUUAUGGUGUUCAGAGAAAGCGAUGCAAUUAGCCCGAAGAAUUGAUGCUGCUGCACAAAGAAUAUGUGUUUCUGGACCCAAGGAAAGACUGCAUGUUAUCUGGUUUCAAGUACACCACCUUUUUGCAUUGUACAUUAUGUCUCAGUUGCGAACGUUGGUCCCUGAACUGCAUUUGUUUUCACCUUGCACUUUACUGGUAUUCAAUAAAUGUCAAUACUGUGUUACGGCACAGCGU
rnacentral:lncRNA from 1 species